rnacentral:rRNA from 1 species
UACGUAGGUGGCGAGCGUUGUCCGGAAUUACUGGGUGUAAAGGGCGUGUAGGCGGGGGAGCAAGUCAGAUGUGAAAUCCCGGGGCUCAACUCCGGAGUUGCAUCUGAAACUGUUUUUCUUGAGUGCUGGAGAGGAAAGCGGAAUUCCUAGUGUAGCGGUGAAAUGCGUAGAUAUUAGGAGGAACACCAGUGGCGAAGGCGGCUUUCUGGACAGUAACUGACGCUGAGGCGCGAAAGCGUGGGGAGCAAACAGGAUUAGAUACCCUGGUAGUCCACGCCGUAAACGAUGGAUACUAGGUGUAGGAGGUAUCGACCCCUUCUGUGCCGGAGUUAACACAAUAAGUAUCCCACCUGGGGAGUACGGCCGCAAGGCUGAAACUCAAAGGAAUUGACGGGGGCCCGCACAAGCAGUGGAGUAUGUGGUUUAAUUCGAAGCAACGCGAAGAACCUUACCAGGGCUUGACAUCCCUUGACAGUCCUAGAGAUAGGAUAUCCCUUCGGGGCAAGGAGACAGGUGGUGCAUGGUU